UACGAAGGGGGCUAGCGUUGUUCGGAAUUACUGGGCGUAAAGGGCGCGUAGGCGGCCACCGCAAGUCGACUGUGGAAAUCUCCGGGCUUAACCCGGAAAGGUCAGCCGAUACUGCGGGGCUAGAGUGCAGAAGGGGCAACUGGAAUUCUCGGUGUAGCGGUGAAAUGCGUAGAUAUCGAGAGGAACACCUGCGGCGAAGGCGGGUUGCUGGGCUGACACUGACGCUGAAGCGCGAAAGCUAGGGGAGCGAACGGG
rnacentral:rRNA from 1 species